UCUCAUUUUUCCCCUUUAUCUUCCACAUUUUCCCCUCUAUUUUUGCUUUUUCUGCUCUACUUUCGUUUUUUCCCCUCUAUUUUCCCCGUUUCCCCCUCUAUUUUCCACUUUUUCCUCUCUAUUUUCAUUUUUCCCCCCUAUUUUCCACGUUUUCCCCCUAUUUGCCCUCUAUUUGGUCCCCAUUUCCCCGUUAUUUUUUGUUCCGUCUCUCUUUUCCAUACACGUUUUCCCUUUAUUUUCCCUGUUUGCCCUUUUUUUGCCCCAUUUCCCCUUUCCUUGCUUCUCCACCCUUUAAUUUCCCCGUUUCUCCCUUUAUUUACCCUUUUUUUUCCAUGUUUACCCUGUAUUUGCCCUAUUCACUCCUUAUUUCCCAUAUUUAACCCUUUUUUGUCCCUGUUCGCCCUUAAUUUUUUCCAUUUAUCCCUCGUUUUGCACUUUCACUCUGUAAUUUCCACGUUUCCCCUUUAUUUUUCCCCAUUUCCCCUUAUUUUCCCUAUUUACCCUUAUUUCUGCUCCUGUUUACCCAUUAUUUUCACUUUUCACCCGUGAUUUUCCCUAUUUACUCUUUAUUUUUAGGCCGUAUUUUCUGUUUUUCCUCUUUCCUGUUUUCUUUUUCUUUACCUUUUUUAUGUUUUUGUCUUUUUUCCCUAAUUGUGUACUUUUUAGUUUCUUUUUCCUGUUUUAUCUUCUUAUUUACUUUCCUUUGUUUUUUUGUUUCCUUUUUCA
rnacentral:lncRNA from 1 species